CUCCUGCUCAAGUACACAAACAAUCACUUAACCUAUGUGGCACAGUCUUUCUCUCUACCUCUCUCUCUCUGUGUGUGCGUGCGCGUUUUUUUCUUUUGCAAGACGUCAGUUAAGAUUGGUUACUUCGGUCUUGCGCCACUAGCAUCAGUGAACUCUGUGUACUUAGCACUAUGGUGUCUUCAGGAGUUUAAUCAAAUUGCUUGUGUUAAACAAAGUACUUUCCUUUCCGCCCCUCGACACCGUAGCAGUGCAGAUCUUACACUGUGCCUUACUCCUGUCGUCGUCAUUUAUCUUAAAAUUAGCCCAAAUCGCCGUUAAGGCAGCAUAACGGAAUUGCUAAUCGCUAACGAGAUGCUAGCAGCUAAAUUUAGCGAAACCUGUAUACUGAAAUACUUUGACACUAUGACAAACUUUCCUAACACAGUCAAACAUCAAGCAAAUGCAACACAAGACGGCAAAUACGCUACUUACUAGUCUGGCAGAGAGUGGUAGGACAGGUAGGACAAUAAAUCACAUUUUGUGUCAGCAUAGCCCGGCCAGUUUGAUGCAGUGAAAUACUGAUGAGUGGUAUCGGUGCUUGGUAUCGGCAAUUCAAAACGAGUACGAGUACGAGUAUUUUAACGAAGUAUCGGCACCGAUACUGGUAUCGGUAUCAGUGCAUCCCUAUUUGAAACCCAUAUCUCCGCAAGCAUGAGAUGUUGUAUAGGCCAGGGGACGCAGAAACGACUUGCCUGAUCUGUCCUCCUUUUUGGGGGAGAAUAUCAGAUUUAAGUUAAGUUGAGUUAAGUUGAGUUAAGACCUGCAAAAAAGGGUGGAAAACAUCUGCUUUAAGGGUUACAUCACACCAGCAUAAAAGGAAAACAUUUCUCAUUGGCUUUACAUCUACUUUCCCAACUGAAGUGCUACAGGCCAAUAAAUCCAGCCAGCAAGUUGUAUGCCACUCAUGGGUCCAGAUUUCUUGACACAGUGUUCUACAAAAAGGUCAAACAAUCCCAGUCGCCCUGCUCCCCUCCCCACCAAUUCGCCCAGUUCCCCCCUGACUGUCUGUGUGUCUGCCUGUCAGCCUGUUGUGACCUACAAUCAAGCACAGCUGGGGACUUAGUUCAGCAGUUUGAAGGGUAAAACAUAUGCAGACAGAACUGCUGACUGUACCUGCACAGGAGGUAUGUGUUCCACUACGUCUGCCGCUAUGUGCUGACAGUUAUCAAUGACUUUUAAAGGACACCUUUUUUCUUUUCUUUUUCUUUUUUGUUUGUUUGGUAGAAGAGCAAUACCAUCAAAGCAGAAGGAUGAUUAAAUACUCUUACAUCAUACAUAAUGCAGUGAUUGUGUGGGGUGUGCUUGGAGUCCAAGGUCCAACCGUAACAUACAAGUUUGCCCUGUUUUGGCACACAAUGCAUGUGAACUUGUCCAAGGACUACAUUCUUUAGACUGAAGACCCUGUGGACUGACUGACCGAUGCAAAACAACCAACCGCAAACCACUGCAGUUGAAUGGCUUAUUUUGAAAUACAUUUUCAAAGCUCUACUUUAUUAUUAUUAUUAUUUAUAAUAAUUAUUAUUAUUAUGUCUUUGUUGUGUGGGGAAAUUGCUGUGUGGGUGUAAUAUGCCACAUGACAACUGGCUUGGUAAACAAACCUUUGUUACCUGGUGGACGGAUUCUGGGAAUGCUGAAACUCCCCUGUGACUGACAUCAGGCCUGUCUCACAAGAGAUGAGAUGAUGGAGAACGGUGCUGCCAUCUUUGUGAACACAAUCAGAUGGUCAGUGCCACUCUAUGGGGCUAGUCAGACUAGGUGAGUCUGACUGCUGUGUGUGCUUGGCUUAUUCUCUGUUGUUUUCACCAUGUUAGACCAUUUUAUGAUAAACAGUAAAUAUGCACUUCUUAUGUGACACUUCCAGAUGGGUUUGCGUGUGUGUGUGUGUGUGUGUGUGCGUUUAUGUGGGUGGUUCUACGAAUGUGAUUCAUGUUGGUGUACGCAGUAGAGUGCAUUUACACCUGGUCCUUCUGAGGCAAACAAAUCUGAUUGCUAACCUUAUCC
rnacentral:lncRNA from 1 species